AGCGGUAAACUUGUCAUUCUGAGGAAGAAACGUUAAUGAUAAUUAGCUAGCUAUGACUGACAUAAUUGACAGCUGAUAUGGCUGUUCGUGAGCUGAAUUAGACGUUUGAUUGCUCGUGGUUCGUCAUGUUGUGUCCAUUUCCGCGGUCACUAACUUCCGUGUUUACGACACUGAAACCGUUCGCCUCGGUCACAACAACGAUGGCUGGAACUCUGGCAGUCUGCUUCCUCUUCUGGUGGAGCUUUCCCUCGGCGGCAGCCUCACAGCAGCCGAACAUAGUUUUCAUCCUGGCUGACGACUUUGGCUGGAAUGACGUCGGCUACCAUGCAUCAGAAAUCCUCACUCCGAACCUGGACAAACUGUCCGCGCAAGGAGUUCGGCUGGAGAACUAUUACGUGCAGCCGCUGUGCACCCCGUCCAGGAACCAGCUCAUGACCGGCAGGUACCAGAUCCACACAGGAAUGCAACACCAGCUCAUCUGGCCCUGCCAGCCUUACUGUGUCCCCCUUGACGAGCGGCUCCUCCCACAGCUGAUGAAGGAGGCUGGCUACGUCACGCACAUGGUGGGCAAAUGGCAUCUGGGCAUGUACAAAAAGGACUGUCUGCCGACGCGCCGCGGCUUCGACACCUACUUUGGUUACCUGAUGGGCAGCGAGGACUACUAUACUCACCACCGCUGCAGCUUCAUCACCCCAUUGAACCUGACCCGUUGCGCGCUGGACUUCAGAGACAGAGAGGAAGUGGCGGCUGGCUACAGUGGAAACUACUCUACGGAGCUAUUCAGCCAGAGAGCUGUGGACCUCGUCACACAUCACGACCAGGACAAGCCGCUCUUCCUCUAUGUGGCGCUACAGUCUGUCCACGCGCCGCUGCAGGUUCCUGCAUGCUACACUGCUCCCUACAGUUUCAUCCAGGACCCUAACCGCCGGCUGUACGCCGGAAUGGUGUCUGCAAUGGAUGAAGCUGUGGGCAACAUUACAUCGGCUCUGCAGCAGAGCGGACUCUGGAACAAUACCGUCCUGAUCUUCUCCACCGAUAACGGCGGUCAGACACUCUUUGGGGGAAGUAACUGGCCACUGCGAGGGAGGAAGUGCUCUCUGUGGGAGGGAGGAGUCCGGGGAGUGGGAUUUGUCACAAGCCCACUGCUGGAGAAACCGGGGACCGUCUCUCAGGAACUCAUCCACGUCUCUGAUUGGCUCCCGACACUGGUGCACCUCGCUGGCGGGAACCUCACUUUCUCCAAAUCGCUGGAUGGUUUCAACGUGUGGAACGCCAUCAGCAAAGGCUUCGCCUCGCCCAGACUGGAGCUGCUGCACAACAUCGACCCGCUCUACGUCGACCUUGCACCCUGUAAGAUUCACGCCUCUUCUCAGAUAUUUAAAGGUUUAGAAAUCCCUGCUCAGCUGGUCCUUCACCACAGAGCCCUCAUAGACCGAAGACUCUUCGGGGGGAUCCUUAAUCUGGCUCCUUCACAUGCAACUGUGAAUUGUUCUGGUGGCAAUAUAUAUAUAUAUAGAAGUAUCAAUAUUAUUAUGAAGCAGCCAAACAGCACAACAUGUCACAUGAAAUGUGUUCUGGACAGAGGGCAGCUGUAGAGAAGCCUGGUCAAUGUCACUUCUGAAGUAACUCCUCAGUGAGAAAAUUUGUGGCUGAAGGGUUAAAGAAAUGACGUCAGUGUUGGAAUGAUGAGUGUUGAAAGUGUUGGAGCUACAGAGGAACAGACUCUUCAGCUUCUCUCCGAAUCCUGAUAACGCUGCCCAGAUAUUGUGGUCACUGCUGAAGGUGUCAUCAGGCCGCAGUGUUGAAACUGGUGUGUGUGUGUUGGAACUGUUAUUGUGCGGUAUGGUUUCCUGGACUCUUGUGACUGCUGAACUCACAGUGGAAUGGCUUCAUUCUUGUCCAAACCACUUAAUGUAAGGUGGACCAAACCACUUCCAACUCUUGGUUGGGGCGUGGCCACCGAGUCAACACUUCCUAAAUAUGGAGGGACACUCCACCUUCGUUACACAACACAAAACACAGGCUAUCUGACAAACUUUACAAGCUUUUAGACCUGACCACAGUGAUAGAACAAGUUCCCUAUAGCAUCAUGAUUCAUAGUCCGCCUGGGAGAAGGGACCGUCCUGUCCUUAUCUUGUUCUGGACUGCUCGAGGUCGACUCCUGAUGAGGGCUUUCAUGGUGUUCGGUGGCGCAGAUAAACAGUAUGUGUUCUUUGUCUUUGAGUUCGGCCCAACAGGACCUUCGGGUGAACGUCCUCGAGUAGUGAGCCAUAAUUGAUGUCAUGUUGUCUCACUUCCGUUGUUGCUGGAGCUGAUGUUAAGUUUGUCCGUGUACGACAUGGUCCAAUCUAGGGCGGUGACAUUAGGUCUGAUGAUAUGAAGUCGCCAAGAUUUCAAUUUUCAUUCCUCUAUUCCCAGUAGUCAGGUGUGUGAGAGGUCGAUCUCCAUUGCUGUGGAUACAAGAAGCCCUCCGUGGGAGCCCAUACAUGGGGUAAAAGCAUUCCCUCAGGAUGGACCCUGGUUUCCCUCAGGCUGGAUUCAAACAGUGUUUAUUUUGAAGGUAUAAGGCCCUUUGUGCCUGGACCAGUCAGUGGCUGAUGGACUGUGGCCCACCCUUGUCCUGAGGGCAUGGUCCAGGCUGCAAGAGAUAACUGGGGAUCAUCCCCAAACUCUUUCUUGGGACCAGAAUUUGCACUCUAGAAUAGAGCUGCUGAAGGAACAGUGCAGAGCACCCAAAAUGGCUGAUAGAGGUUUAGCUACUCGUGCUCUUGCAGGACCUGCGCACUCCUGAGAGCGUUCUGGUGGGGCAUUUUGCUAACUCCAAUGUGGAGAGAGGUUGCUCCUCAUUUUGGCUUGUCAUGGGGCUCCUGAGGAUCCUCAAUUUGGGCUGCCACAAGUACGUGUUGAGAACCAGCGUACGUCUGUAAAGAUAUGUGUGAGAGCAUAAUGGUUGUGCUCCUCAGUGGGCGGUGUGCUUGAACCCAUGUACCCAGUCCUGCAGUUCACAACUGUCAGACUCCACCGUUGGUCACUACAUCAAUGUGGGGACGAGACGAGCUGAGAAAAACAUUACGACACUCCAAAUGAAGUCCUUGUUGGCCACCACAGUGACACCCAGCCCUCCUUGAUCAAGUCCAGACCGCAGGCCUCAUCUCUUCCUCCUUUAUGGCGUCUCCUUUUCUUCAGGCCUCUUUUUAUUUUCUUCUGAAUGCUGCCUCCUCCUCUAAAGAUUUCUUCUUUUCUAGUUUAUGUAAACCAGCGGCCCACUUUCGCUCUGUGCAAGACCCUGUUUCUGACUGCACUGGUCACCGAGAGGUCCCCUCACCUCUCUCGAUGGGGCGCAAAAACAGAACCCAGGUCUUGAUUCUCUGCCAUCCUAACUCCUCUGAGCUUUUCCCUGAGAAUAUUUGUGGAUUCUCCCUCUGUGGAUCCAGAUGAAGCUGCUUGGCUUUGAGGCGCCCAGGCAACCAGAUCUGAGUCUGAAGACGGCGACCUGUUUGACAACCUGUAUUGUUGGUCAUGCUUGUUCUGACCCUGGACCUGCUGAAGAGCACGUGAUAGGAGCAAGAAUGGUUUAGAUGAGCUCUCAUCUGAGACUUGUAGCAGAGUCUUUCUCGACCAGGACUGCAUUAUGUUCUGAAUGCUCCUGUGAUCUUGUUCUGGAGAUAGACAGUAGCCGUCAAAUGCUUUCUGAUCUCGCUGUCAAAACUGAGAUUGCAUUUAAAGGUUGAUCAAGAUUUGGACACACUACUGUGCAGGUGUCCAGGUGAACCAGUCUUGGUAUUGACAUUGACACUGGGUGAUGGAUGGAUGGUAGAUGCAUGUGCCUACACGACUGCUUUUCUUGCUUCAUUGCUUUUAUUCAGUAUAGUCAGUUGCCUGUUCUAUUCUGACCCCGUGGUUGCUGAUCAAAGUUCCUACAGAAGUGGAUGGUAUGGUGACAGGCUUUUAGCGAGGCGCCACUUGCCCCACCACGGAGACAGUAUGACAUGUCCAGUUUCCUCUUCCUUCUUCACAGGUGUUUCUUUUACCAAUAUUCUGUGAUCAAGAAACCUUGUUCUGACUACUCUGUUUCAGACAGGCAAGAGUGGCUCCCAUGAGCACACACUGUUCCUUCUUUCCUGUUUUGUUCCAUCACCUUCCUCAGGCUUUUAGCAAGCAUUUUUAGGGCGUCCCAAUGUUCAUGCUUGUUUUUUACCCAGUUCACCUGCAUAGAAGCAAAACAAAAGCCCAAAUAAUCAUCAGAUUAAAAGUCUUCAAUAAGUUUUGUGAGCUUCAGACACCCCAUCCAUAACAGCGGUCUUCAUUCUGCAUCAGCCUAUCAAAUCCAAGUGUUGUGAGUCACAAGAUGUGGAUAUAUAUACGUGAGAUUUCACCCAAAACCGAACAUGCCUCUUGCAAUUGCAAACUCACAGGUCCAUGAAGGCAUGAGAAUCUGUGAUUUUAGAUUAUAUUCACGAAAUGUGAAACUUUUAAUGCAAACCAGUAUGAUGGCACUAUGAUCAGGGCACUAUACAGACUCUAAUGAUGUUUAUUUAGGGCGUCCUCCAGCUAAAAGCCUGACCUCCAUCGACUCAACAUCUUCUCCAGAGCUGUUGCGAGUCCUGAUCUUCAUGUGAAAGUGUUUAACUCCCACGUGACUCGACGAUCGAGAAGAAUCCUAUCGUGCGGUCGUAAAAACGCUGAGAUCGGAAAUGUUCCUUCGUGUCGCUGCGGUUUAAUAAACGACUCUGGAAGGCUUGUGAGGGCGGAGUCCGGAGUUUUAAUGUGAGGAUGUUUUUGACGGCGUUGAGAGGGAGACUUGCGCUAAUCAGCACCACAUUGUCCUGCGUCUCUCAAGGAUCUUCACUCCAAAACGUUGACAUGUGUGCGCGGGGCGGAGGGUGUGUUUACGCACACAACCAAACGGAUAAUUGACCAGUCUGUUUGGUAAAAAGACUGCUGGUGAUUACCCCGUGACCUUUGCUGCUCCCUUAACAGCACGACCUUCAAAUUAUUCGUAGUGUUUGGCAGCACACAGCUCCAACGCUGCCUCGACCACAUCGCCACCAUAUUUGUCAAAUUUUCUCAGCCCCCAAGUUCCACGUGUUUGGGGGGGAUGGAUGCAUACGGACGCUCUCUGUGGGCCCGGUCAGUGUUUGCCAGUUUUCAAACCUCAAAGCGGCUUUGUUGAUCUUACCGGGAAACUGCGGUCUCCCUUGUUGUUUUAUUUAUUUUCACGCUUGUCAUCCACACCAGCGGCGGGUAUCGGAUGUCCACCCUGCCAUCGCACAAAGGUCUUGGCAGAGACGGUCAGUUCACUUUGGCUCCGUGUCCAG